UCAUCGAUUCCAUCAUCCAGU
rnacentral:snRNA from 1 species